UACGUAGGAGGCGAGCGUUGUCCGGAAUUACUGGGCGUAAAGCGCGCGUAGGCGGCUUUGCAAGUCGGGUGUGAAAUCCCCAGGCUUAACCUGGGAACUGCAUUCGAGACUGCAUUGCUAGAGGACGGUAGAGGCGAGUGGAAUUCCCGGUGUAGCGGUGAAAUGCGCAGAUAUCGGGAGGAGCACCAGUAGCGAAGGCGGCUCGCUGGGCCGUUCCUGACGCUGAGACGCGAAAGCUAGGGGAGCGAACAGG
rnacentral:rRNA from 1 species